CCUAAAUUGACAGCUACAGUUUAUAUAGCUGCUAAUCGCACCUUAGGUAGGAAACGCUGUCGGACCCUGACGUGCAGCCGGGUGAUUAAUCAACCAAACGUUGAAAAGAUCACGGUUGGUCAAGAGGGAACUGGCCAGGUGUAUUGCAGAUCCCUCGCUUGAGGAGUGGAGGAAGGGUCUAGACUGCAGCAAGGAUUGUCUGGCUUUAUGCUGACCAGACUGGCGAGCUAACCUUUUAAGUGGAUUCGGAAAUUAUAACACCUGUCAUCUGAGAAAACUCUUCCGAACUGGUUGGAGAUUCAUCUCAACAAGUCUUCACUAAAGGAACUGGAUUAUUGUUUCCCUUUCAUCAUCAACAAAGACUGGUUGACUUUCUUGGCAUAAGGAACCUUUUUGGACUCUAAAAUGUGAACUAAUUUGUAUAUAUUGUAAAUAUUAAUACAACUCACUA